CUACUCGGGUAUCUAAUCCUGUUUGCUCCCCUAGCUUUCGUGCAUCAGCGUCAGUUAUGGUCCAGUGAGCCGCUUUCGCCACAGGUGUUCCUUCCGAUAUCUACGCAUUUCACCGCUACACCGGAAAUUCCACUCACCUCUCCCACACUCAAGCCCGGCAGUUUCUCGUGCAGACUUCGAGUUGAGCCCGAAGAUUUCACACAAGACUUACCAAACCGCCUACGCACCCUUUACGCCCAAUAAUUCCGAACAACGCUUGCCCCCCUCGUAUUACCGCGGCUGCUGGCAC
rnacentral:rRNA from 1 species